rnacentral:rRNA from 1 species
UACGAAGGGGGCUAGCGUUGUUCGGAAUUACUGGGCGUAAAGGGCGCGUAGGCGGUGUGUCAAGUCAGGCGUGAAAGCCCCGGGCUCAACCUGGGAACCGCGCUUGAGACUGGCACGCUAGAGUUCGGGAGAGGAUGGUGGAAUUCCCAGUGUAGAGGUGAAAUUCGUAGAUAUUGGGAAGAACACCGAUGGCGAAGGCGGUGCCUGGGCUUGCUGACGCUGAUGCGCGAAGCGUGGGAGCGGAUCCGG